AGGGUUGUGGCUCAAUGGUUGAGCACUUGCCUUGCAUGUGUGAGGCCCUGUGUUCGAUUCUCAGCACCACAU
rfam:Ictidomys tridecemlineatus contig049732, whole genome shotgun sequence.